rnacentral:rRNA from 1 species
UACGUAGGGUGCAAGCGUUAAUCGGAAUUACUGGGCGUAAAGCGUGCGCAGGCGGCUUUGCAAGACAGAUGUGAAAUCCCCGGGCUUAACCUGGGAACUGCAUUUGUGACUGCAUCGCUGGAGUGCGGCAGAGGGGGAUGGAAUUCCGCGUGUAGCAGUGAAAUGCGUAGAUAUGCGGAGGAACACCGAUGGCGAAGGCAAUCCCCCUGGGCCUGCACUGACGCUCAUGCACGAAAGCGUGGGGAGCAAACAGG